UCCUAGGUAAGGAAGUUAUUGGUUGCUUAUAGAUUUUGAAGUAGCAGCUAGCUGCUAGCAAGCUAAACGGUUUCUGAAACGAGGGGACUGGCGUUUGCAAGCCAUCGAAGGAAUGUGUUAUAAUGCAGAUUACUAUUUGUGUAUAAUACUCAUAGUAAAGAACUGCAACAGAUACUGUUUCUCACUCAUAAGACCACCAUGUCCAUGAGGAUCGCACAUUAAACCUGCCAGUUCUUGAUGCUGUUGGUUAUGGUUAGCUAGCUCAGUGACACAACUGUGUGUCGAACGGCGCUGCUGCAACCGUCAAGGUGAGGCUGAGAAAAGCCUAUGCAGAGCGGGGGUAGGCUAACAUAUCUGCAAGCGUAGACGACCAGUGCCAUCUAUUCCAUUUACUAUAAUAACUCUAUUCAUCUUGCCGUCACUCUGACAUCAAAUAGCGUUACAUAUGAAGCUUCAGCCUCUGUAUGAACAUUGUAAGUUGUAUCUUGUCGAGGAGGACUACAGUACCAUUCAUUUUUGUAUUUUUGUAUUUCACCAAUUUCAGACUUCCUCCAUUGACAGAAGCAGAGAGAUGGUUUUGCAAGGGCUGAUUCGAUACCUGUGUGAGAAACCAGGAGACUUAAUCCAGGAGUACAGUUGAGAGGCAGCGGUUCAAGGAGACUUCAUCAGACCUCAAUCCAACAGAACACCUUUGGGAUGAAUCAGUGGAAACUGAGAGCCAGUCUCCUCAUCCAACAUCUGAGAGAUGCCUAUGCAGAGCGGGGACUUCCUCCAUUGACAGAAGCAGAGAGAUGGUUUUGCAAGGGCUGAUUCGAUCACUGUGUGAGAAACCAGGAGACUUAAUCCAGGAGUACAGUUGAGAGGCAGCGGUUCAAGAAGACUUCAUCAGACCUCAAUCCAACAGAACACCUUUGGGAUGAAUCAGUGGAAACUGAGAGCCAGUCUCCUCAUCCAACAUCAGUGUGUGACCUCACAAAUACGCUUCUGGAAGAAUGGUCGAAAAUUCAAAUGAACACACUCCUAAACCUUGUGGAAAGCCUUCCCAGAAGAAUGGAAACUUUUAUACUGUAGCUGCAAAGGGUGGACCAACGUCAUAUG